UACGGAGGGUGCAAGCGUUAUCCGGAUUCACUGGGUUUAAAGGGUGCGUAGGUGGGUAAGUAAGUCAGUGGUGAAAUCUCCGGGCUUAACCCGGAAAGGUCAGCCGAUACUGCGGGGCUAGAGUGCAGAAGGGGCAACUGGAAUUCUCGGUGUAGCGGUGAAAUGCGCAGAUAUCAGGAGGAACACCAAUGGCGAAGGCAGCUCGCUGGGACGGUACUGACGCUGAGACGCGAAAGCGUGGGGAGCAAACAGG
rnacentral:rRNA from 1 species